rnacentral:tRNA from 1 species
GUCCCUAUAGCUCAAUUGGAUAGAGCGCAGGCCUCCGGAGCCUGAGGUGCAGGUUCAAUUCCUGCUAGGGACA